rnacentral:rRNA from 1 species
GAUGAACGCUGGCGGCGUGCCUAAUACAUGCAAGUCGAGCGAACAGAUGAGGAGCUUGCUCCUCUGACGUUAGCGGCGGACGGGUGAGUAACACGUGGAUAACCUACCUAUAAGACUGGGAUAACUUCGGGAAACCGGAGCUAAUACCGGAUAAUAUAUUGAACCGCAUGGUUCAAUAGUGAAAGACGGUUUUGCUGUCACUUAUAGAUGGAUCCGCGCCGCAUUAGCUAGUUGGUAAGGUAACGGCUUACCAAGGCAACGAUGCGUAGCCGACCUGAGAGGGUGAUCGGCGACACUGGAACUGAGACACGGUCCAGACUCCUACGGGAGGCAGCAGUAGGGAAUCUUCCGCAAUGGGCGAAAGCCUGACGGAGCAAUGCCGCGUGAGUGAUGAAGGUCUUCGGAUCGUAAAACUCUGUUAUUAGGGAAGAACAAAUGUGUAAGUAACUAUGCACGUCUUGACGGUACCUAAUCAGAAAGCCACGGCUAACUACGUG